rnacentral:rRNA from 1 species
AGGACGAACGCUGGCGGCGUGCUUAACACAUGCAAGUCGAGCGGUAAGGCCCUUUCGGGGGUACACGAGCGGCGAACGGGUGAGUAACACGUGGGUGACCUGCCCUUAGCUCUGGGAUAAGCCUGGGAAACUGGGUCUAAUACCGGAUAUGACCUCGCGAUGCAUGUCGUGGGGUGGAAAGCCUUGUGCGGCUAGGGAUGGGCCCGCGGCCUAUCAGCUUGUUGGUGGGGUGAUGGCCUACCAAGGCGACGACGGGUA